ACCCUAAAUACUAAUCCACUACUUCAUCGUUCUUUGCAGAGUCGUGUAAACCACAAAGAUGGAAUCGGAUCCCUUAUGUUCUUUUGUCUCUAUUAUUGAUAUCUUUCACACUUUCCCUUUUUCUCCAAACCCUUGCUGCAUCCGGUUCUUCCUACGGCGAUUCAUCAAUAUUAAUCACAACUAUUCUUCAAUGGUAACACAGAUGAAUCUCCUACCUUUGGAAACUGAUGUCGCACAUUAGGUUGAUCAUAUGGGUUAUGAGAUGGUAAACAAAGAUGUUAUUUCAGGUGUUGACUGGAAUUGGUACAAAAUCCUAUUCUUUUUUAUUUUAUUUACUUUGGUUUUUACCCAAUUUUAUAAUGGCUCUGUUUUCUGUAGCCAAUCAUUUUCGUUGUUCUAUUCGGAUCACAAGUUGACCCAAGUUAAUAACCGAUCAUAAUGAUAUUUUUCGUUUCUUCUAUCCUUUAAUGAUUGGCUUUCUUAUUGGAUAAAGAAUGUUUGUUACCCAAAAAUAUAAAUAAGAUAAAAUUAUGUGUUCUUUAUACAAAAUUUGCCUUUAUAAAAGCAAGUGGUGUUACUUUGGUUUUUACUUUUGGAACAGUUUGUUUUAUUUCUCUUUCAUAUAAUCAUUUGUUUCAAAAAACUUUAUAUAAUGCAUGGGUGACAUUUUCAAAGUUGUGGCAUUCUGUCAUAUCCAAACGACUGCAGUUGCAACAAUUGAAGCACAACUUAAAGUUACACAAGAAACAAGUAAGACUUCUGAAAAUUAACUUCUAUAGAUAUUCUCAAAUCUUGAAAAAUCGAAAGCAGCAGUACAAAACAUUUUUUUUUUGAACGGCUAAGGUUUGAACCUGGGACCUAACCUCUCCUUAAUAGGCAUGUGCCUAUACCAAGUGGACUGCUACACAUUGGCGAUAGUAAAUGCAUGAUUUAAUGACUAAAUAAAUACAUGAAUUAAAGAAAUCUUUGAUUCAUGAAAUUUAGGAAAUCAUCAAAAUCAGACAGCUUAAGCUGGUUUUCCACCAAAGUAGGUUUUUUAAGAAUAGAUCAUAACUUUAUAUUCUUUUAACGAUUUUAUAAAUGAUUUCAUAUUAAGAGAGGCCAUGGGGUAGCUCAGUAUCUUGAUAAAUCGCAGGUAUGUAUUGUAAUGUUGUUGGUUUGUUUUUAGUGUUUUUAUUUGGUUGUUCUAAUGGUUUGUUGUUUGGGUCGGAACAUGUGGAUUGAAUUUGCUCUUUUACAACCCUUUUACAGUUCUUUCAUGUUUCAUUGCAUGAUUCAAUCACCCAUUUUAUUCAAAAAAAAAAUUCUUUUACAACCCUUUAAUUCAAUAGGAUGUUCUUUCAUGUUACAGUUCUUUCAUGUUACAGUUCUUUCAUGUUACAUUGGGUCGGAACAUGUGGAUUGAAUUUGCUUUUACAACCCUUUUACAGUUCUUUCAUGUUACAAAUUGAUCAUGAUGUCGAAACAGUCGAGAGUGUUUUUCAUGUGUAUGUUAAAAAACGUGGUCUGUUAGAGAUGUGAACAUAAAAAGAUAUUUUAAAAGUGGUUUUAUUUGACUCUGUGUCAACAUUUUAUGCAUACAUGUUACAAAACUCAUGUUUGAAUAUUCAACUAAGCGGUCUAAUGUUUGUUCUAAUGCUAUGCUUCUGUUUGGUCAUCUGCCUCGACUGGGUCUGGUCCAGUUUUUUUACCAUGUACUGUGUAGAACCCUAGACGUGAAGACCAACAAUCGUCCUUGGUAUUUUUUAGUUGUAAAUAGUAUUUUGCAAGACACGAGCUACACCGCUCGGUAAGUUUGUUUUGGAAAUUUCAUUAUUUUUGCAAUUAGCUGCAUAAGUUUGUUUUGGAAACAUUUUAGUGUAAUGAUUGGUUCAAAUUGUUUCUCAAAAAUAGAUCACUGAUGAAGAUGUAUAUUGUUUUGUUUUUUUUUUUUUUGAAGUUAUUUGCAUCAAUGAAUAUCGACGAGAAUAUGCGAGUCGUACUGAUUGACUGGCUCAUUUAAGUAACUUCAGCUGGAAACUGUGGUGCUCCAGGGGUAUCUUCAUCAUUUUAGGUUGGGUAAUGAGUUAUCUGUGUGUGCAACAAGACGUUUGGGGUUUCUCAGCCUUUGUUACAUCCACAGUGGUUGCGGCAAGAUUCUCGCCCUGUUCAUUAUUCAUAUAGGCGUUCUGUUUGGUUAUCUGGGCUUGCUGGGUGGAUUUCGGGUUUACUACCGGGACAUACGAGGCUGUGAGGAGACCUGUAUGGGGCGGCUAGGCUGGGAUUUUAAUCAUCUGUUGAAGGCCCGGGCUUGGUCGGAGUUAUGUUUGUUUUGUGCUAUUGAGAUGGAGCCCACUUUAAGCUUUAUGGCCCAGAUUAAUUACAAAAUUUUGAUGCAGGAGGCCGGUUUUGCGGGUGCCAUCCUGGGCUGUCUGGCUAUGCUUAUGGCCGGGCUGAUGAUUGUCAAGAUGAAGACCCACCGCUGGGUUUGCAAAAUGGUGUUCAAGACUCAGAUGCAUGAUGGUGUUGAGAAGCCGCGCAAUAUGGCAAAGGUCAUUAACUCAAGGUGGGUUGGUAGUAGGUGGGCUCGCCAUUUCAAUACUCAAAAGGGUAACUGAAUCAAUUCUUUUGAUUCUUGAUUCAUCCGUAGUGCAAUGUUUUGAGUUGAUGGAGGAUCUUGAAUAGACUACAUGACAGGAAUGGGAAAUUAUACUACAAACUGAUUAACAACAUUAAAGAUAUAGCUCCAAUAAUUUACACUCUUACAGUAGGUUUGGUAUGCCAAAACUAUUCAGGAUUGUUUAGACGCCCACAUGGAAUGUACUUGAGUGCAAAAGAUAAAGGAGAGAUGAUGUCAAUAAUCUAUAACUGGCCAGCUGCUAAGGUAGACAUGGUAAUGCUUACAAUUCAGGUUUUUGUCUACUUGGUUUUCGGAUGGCUUUGGGUCAGUUUUUUUAUCAGAGGUCCUUCCUAUUAUGCUUGAUGUUGGCACCAACAAUGAAAAGCUUCUAAAAGAUCGUCUCUAUUUGGGACUAAGAGAACGAAGGUUCGAAGGAGAAGAAUACAUCUCAAUAGUGGAUGAAUUGAUGGAAGCUCUUCAUACACGUUGUUCGUUUAGGUGGCUCUUGAUUUCUUGGUGUUUUACUAUGAGAUUAUGGAUUUACUUGAAAGGGCCUGUAUACAUAACCUUCCGCCACCACCUAGAUGGUUGCAAUCUAGACGAGACACAUCACCUGGUAAUCUUAACAACACCAUCUAUAAUGUCAUGAAAGGAUAUUAAGUUCAUGGAAAAAAGGAUUGAAGAUCUUUAAAAGAGCUUGAAGAGGAGCAAUGACAAAUAGUUAAAAGUAGAGCAUGAAGUGUGUUUGAAGAUUAAGGUCGCACUAUCUCCUAUCUGCAACACGGUUUUCUUGAAUUGGCCUACCUCAUGUGAUCCACCAAUGCAGAGAUCAUCAGGGUAACUUGAUCUUCAAUCAUGCAGUCAUUAUCAGUUAAAUCUCUUUUCAAUGAACGUAAUUGUUUAGAUGUUGCUCACUAAUGUUCUCCAUUUACUAAUCUUCUUUAAUAUUUGAAUAUAGUUAAUAAAUGACAAACAUAAGCCCUUAUUUGAUCAAUUCUUAGUCUAUGGAAGCUUUGUGUCUUGCUUAUAUUUCGGCUGAUAUCUUUACACCGGCACGAAGUAAUCUCUUACACAUGCGAGCAAAAAAGGUAUACAGAUUAUAUACAUAAUAUAUAGGUGAUUUGAUAUAUACUUUAAUUGUUCAUUAUUUUCCUGUUUUUGUUUUCAUUGGUCACUGUGAUUUUGAACCGGUUCACUUUGGUUGGGAUUAGUAUAUGUUCAGGUCCAAACAAGUUAUUUAACUCAUAGUGGAUAUGGGUAAAAGGGGAUUGCUUUAAAGAAAGAAGCACAAAUUCUCAUAAUUAAAAAGAUCAUAUUGUCGAACGGUUAGGCAUAAGUAGUUUAAACAGGCUUUUAAUAAUUUUAUAGCUAUUAGAAAGUGAGCUUAACUAAGUAAUGUAGCUGAACUAAAACUGUUAAUUUUUAAAAAAAUGUCAAACCGAAUCGGUAUUGAAAAUGUACCCGGUUCGGUAAAUUCGGUACCGAUACCCGAUAUCAUUUGCUCAUCCCUAAGAUGAGGAAUUACCUAUGAUAAAAAAAACUGACCCAAAGCCACCCGAAAACCGAGUACACAAAAACCUGAAUUUCUUGACAUACCCAAACCCGAUUAAAUGUAAAAAAAAAUAUUGAAAACUGACCAUUGUAGUCCUAAACCCAAUUUGGGUUACUUUUGGUUAUUGAAUACAGUUAAAAUGGCACCGGGUAUAUAAGAAGUAAAAAAUGGAACUCAUAGUUUGAGACACCUGGUUAAAAUAAAAAAAGGGAAAAUAAAUUCACUUUUUUGUUUAGAUGGGGCUGGGUUCAGUAAUCGAGUUUAGGUUAGGUUGUUUUUGGUCAUCUUAGUUGCUUACGAUUAAAAACAUAAAAGCAGGUUAAGAUAAAUUAGGGAGAAAGAAACUCAUAGCUUUAGUAAGAAUGUUUGACAUACCCAACCCGAACUCAAUUAUCGAACCCAACCGAAGCGACCAGGAACCUAAGUAAACAAUAAAUAAUCAAUAAUAAGUUGCCUCGAUUUCAUUUUUUAAUCGUAAUCGAUUACCAAAAAAGUUGCCUUGAGUUUUCAAAAGAAUCAAAACUAUUGUUAUGACCGAAUAAUUGUGUCUUACUCUUUAGGUGGUGUUUUUUUUUAUAAAAUUUGCUUCUAACAUCCAACUGUUUCUUACUUUUUUUCUUUAGUUUAUCCGUUUAGUAGAGAUAAUUAAAAAAAGUGUCAAAAAAAUUAUUUAAUGUCUGUGAUUAUAUAUAAUUAUAUUUUAAGCUCUUUAAUAAACUAAAUGUCUUACUUUUAGACUUUAAUUAGCAACUAAAUGUGUAUUGUAAAAUGGCGUAUGGGUUGAACUUGAAUAGAAGAGUUGCUUCAUCAUCCUUUUCAUUAUUUGAAAUUUGAGAGUAAUACGAUUUGCUGUUUGUGCUAAUAAUAGGAAGGAUAGCAGAGGUCCAUUCCAACUUUUGGAUUGGAAUGGUGUUUUGUUUGAAUGUUUAAAGGCUGGAUAGUCACAUCAAACUUCAGUCUAAAAGGAUGGUCUUCUCCUUGCAAAGGAAUCAUCCUUUUAUUAUGGUUGCAAAUAUCUUUUUGUAUGAUUUUAAUUAUAUACAAAUCCUAAAUUAUUUUGGUUGCAAAUAUCUUUUUGUAUGUUUUUAAUUAUGUACUAAAUUUUUUAUUACUAUUUUGUAGUGGCUCUCUGAACACAUCGUAAUUGUUGCCGUUUUAUAGAACAAUUCAAAUAUAACCAUUAAGAUGAUUGGUGGAGGUGAAGGGGAAUUGAAGAUAUCAACAGAAGAAGUGGAUUUAGAUACUACAUGGUUUUUUAAUUUAUUUAUAAUGUGUUUUAUCUUUUAUUUAAUUCUCAUCUACAAUUAUUAUUUGUUGUUUGUUAUAGAUAUAAUGCUGUCAAUUGGGGUGAUGUCAUGAAACAAUGGAGAGUUCCAUGGGGCAAAAUGGUUGUUUUUAAAUGGUCCAAGAGUCAAAAGAUGCUUUGUUUGCAGUAGAUCAAGAAAUUUGAAAUCUCAUAAAAUCGUUGUUACCAAUUUUAAUGUUUAGAAAACAUUAUUAUAUUUUCUUUAGUAAUUGUGGUAGUUUUUUUUAACUAUUUCAACA